rnacentral:lncRNA from 1 species
GUUUGACACUCUGGAGGAAAAGCUGAAUAAAAAGAAAAUCAUCUCUGUUGCUCAAACAAUGACUUUACCAUUUUGAUUACUUGGAGCAGAGCCCCCGCGUUGUGAAUAUUGUUGUUGCCUCGUUGAUAUCUGAGAGGGAGGAAUUUACCUGUGUUUGAAGGUGAUCUCCUGAGUUUUGUAUAUUAAGAGGUCUGAGACAGGGAUUGAAGAGUGAUUUAUAUCGUUUUUGUAUUGUGGUUGUUAUGUGUUGUAAUUGUAGUUGUUAGCCGAGGUUGUAUUUAUAUGGCAUUAAUUGUCAUAUCGUCAAGGUUUGAUAUUAUUGUUGGUCGUUGUGCGUGGGUUAUAUCAUACAUGGAGCCUUGUUAAUAAUUAAAAAUAUCCAUUUAGAACUAAAUGGUUCACUUAGAUUUAUACAGAAAUAAGGUUUCCAAAAUGCAUGUAUACAGAGUGGAUGUUUUGCAAUGCAUACGUGAGUUCCACGUUUUUAGGUAAAACAU